AUUGAACGCUGGCGGCAGGCCUAACACAUGCAAGUUGAGCGGAUGAAGAGAGCUUGCUCUCUGAUUUAGCGGCGGACGGGUGAGUAAUGCCUAGGAAUCUGCCUGGUAGUGGGGGAUAACGUUCCGAAAGGAACGCUAAUACCGCGUACGUCCUACGGGAGAAAGCAGGGGACCUUUGGGCCUUGCGCUAUCAGAUGAGCCUAGGUCGGAUUAGCUAGUUGGUGAGGUAAUGGCUCACCAAGGCUACGAUCCGUAACUGGUCUGAGAGGAUGAUAAGUCAAACUGGAAGUGAGACGCGGUCCAGAGUCGUACGGGGUGCAGCAGUGGUGAAUGUUGGUCGAUGGGCGGAAUCAUGUUCCAACCAUGCCGCGUGUGUGAAGAAAUCUUUAAGGUUGUAACGCACGUUAAGCGAUGAGGAGAGUACGUUAGUUAAUACCUAGAGAUAGUGGACGUUACUCGCAGAAUAAGCACCGGCGAACUCUGUGCCAGCAGCCGCCGUAAUAC
rnacentral:rRNA from 1 species